GCCAGCGUGGUUGAGUGGUUUGAGCAUUGGACUAUAACUCUGGAGACCAGGGUGCAAUUCCCAGCUUGGCC